rnacentral:lncRNA from 1 species
GGACAGAUGAAAACCUACCCCAGAAGUUCGUCUGAGAACCCCACAGGGCAGCAGGAAGGCUGUGUACCAGCUCUGCUGCUACAGGAUUUUGAAAUGAAACAGCAUGGUGACUUAGCCAAGGUGCGACAUAGACAGACUUAGACUGGGCUAGUGUGUCUCACCAGCCACACCCCCUCAUGAGUUCAAGACCCCAGCUCCAGUCUCUGGCACCCACGUGAAUGUUGGGUGAGUGGGGCAACCCACUGAUAAUCUCAGCCAUCAGGCAGAGACAGAGGAUUCCUGGGGCAAGCUAAUGAACUAGACCAGCUGACUCAGUAAACAGGGUUGCCAUGGUCAUGGUGUCACAGCAAUAAGGCAGAACACUAGGACACCGCCCAAAGAUCGUGAAGACUUGCAUCUGACAUCGGGAAAUCGAUUCCAAACUAACUGGAGAUUUCGUCCAUUGUCAUCAUGGUGGGAAGCGUAGCAGCAUGAAAUGUACUUCAGCAGAUACUAAGGGAGAAAGAGAGCCGAGUAGGAUCUGCCAAGAAGCAUAUAAGCACCAUCUUUAAGUGCCCGUCACUGCCCACUCACCGAAUGGAUUGGAUAAUAGCAAGGAGAGCUGGUUCGAUUCUAAGGAAGAGAAACCACACUGGAGAGACAGGAGGCAAUUGUGAGAUUCCUGCAGCUUCUUGCCACUUCUGAGGACUUGGACCAGUUGAGGUCAGAAGAGGACAUAGAAUUCCCUGGAACUGGAGCUACUGAUGGUUGUUAACCAUCACGUUGGUGCUGGGAAUCAAACCCACGACCUCUGCAGGACACAGCUGCUUUCCAGGAAUUCUUGUUCACACACCAUGUAUUAAAGCUGUGGUGCCCAGCUUACUGCUUUUUGAAGAGGAUGUAAACUAUAAGAGAGGCCGGGAUAGCUGUGGGCAGUGAACAUGACUGCUGGUGACUGUGUGAGUUGAUACUAUAAUUCACAGGACUGUCACCCUUACUUUCACCUUUAACUACGACCCCACUACUUCAACUCUUCAACUUUCACAGUGGUGUGAAGAAGUGCUCUCUUGUGAUCAUGAUACUCUACCCAAGCAGGUCAUGCUACAGGAAGGACUCUGCCUGCCUGCGAACUCAGCAAGACUUCUCCUGCCAAAUCCCCUCAUGGUGUUACUUCUUCCUCGUUAACCUACCAGGGCAAUUUUACAUUGACUUAUGAGCUUCCCUGGUGGAUAACAGCAUUUCCCACCAGAAUCCAGGCUUAAUGAGGAGGGGACCAUGUUCAAUUUUACCCAUGGAGAGACUUAUGGUGCCGAUCACCAU